rnacentral:rRNA from 1 species
CCUACGGGAGGCUGCAGUGAGGAAUAUUGGUCAAUGGGCGAGAGCCUGAACCAGCCAAGUCGCGUGAGGGAGUACUGCCCUAUGGGUUGUAAACCUCUUUUGUCGGGGAGCAAAAGCCGGACGUGUCCGGCUGUGAGAGUUCCCGAAGAAAAAGCCUCGGCUAACUCCGUGCCAGCAGCCGCGGUAAUACGGAGGAUGCGAGCGUUAUCCGGAUUUAUUGGGUUUAAAGGGUGCGCAGGCGGAUUUUUAAGUCAGCGGUAAAAUCGUGGGGCUCAACCCCAUCCAGCCGUUGAAACUGGGGAUCUAGAGUGUGCGAGAGGUAUGCGGAAUGCGUGGUGUAGCGGUGAAAUGCAUAGAUAUCACGCAGAACCCCGAUUGCGAAGGCAGCAUACCGGUGCACAACUGACGCUCAGGCACGAAAGCGUGGGUAUCGAACAGGAUUAGAUACCCCAGUAGUC